rnacentral:rRNA from 1 species
UACGUAGGGUGCAAGCGUUGUCCGGAAUUAUUGGGCGUAAAGAGCUCGUAGGCGGUCUGUCGCGUCGGCUGUGAAAACCCGGGGCUCAACCCCGGGCCUGCAGUCGAUACGGGCAGACUAGAGUGCGGUAGGGGAGACUGGAAUUCCUGGUGUAGCGGUGAAAUGCGCAGAUAUCAGGAGGAACACCGGUGGCGAAGGCGGCCCGCUGGGCAGUGGCUGACGCUGAGGCGCGACAGCGUGGGGAGCAAACAGG